rnacentral:rRNA from 1 species
GUACCAGACUCCUACGGGAGGCAGCAGUGGGGAAUAUUGCACAAUGGGGGAAACCCUGAUGCAGCAACGCCGCGUGAGUGAAGAAGUCAUUCGUGAUGUAAAGCUCUAUCAGCAGGGAAGAAAAUGACGGUACCUGAGUAAGAAGCCCCGGCUAACUACGUGCCAGCAGCCGCGGUAAUACGUAGGGGGCAAGCGUUAUCCGGAUUUACUGGGUGUAAAGGGAGCGUAGGCGGCCUGCCAAGUCUGAUGUGAAAUACCGGGGCUCACCCCCGGGGCUGCUUUGGAAACUGGCAGGCUGGAGUGUCGGAGAGGCAGGCGGAAUUCCUAGUGUAGCGGUGAAAUGCGUAGAUAUUAGGAGGAACACCAGUGGCGAAGGCGGCCUGCUGGACGAUGCCUGCCGCUGAGGCUCGAAAGCGUGGGGAGCAAACAGGAUUAGAUACCCGCGUAUAC